rnacentral:lncRNA from 9 species
CCCCCGCCCCCCAUCCAGGAGGAAAAGAGAGGAGGAAAAGGGAGAUGAGGAAAGAAAUGAACCUGUACAGAGCACGAACUUGUUCUCACUGGCGCUAACAGAAAAACAGCUUUAUAAACCAUUGCUGUAUGCUGUUGAACAAAGAUGCCCGAUUCAUGCUUUAAAAGGAGGCUCCUGGAAGAACAGCCUGAAGACACUGUCUCAGAUCAAAAGCAGCCUCAAAAGGACAUCUUUUUCAAAUUCAAUUACUGACUCUGGGGACUUACAUGGAGGAGUUAUGGUUAUGAAGAAGAAAAGAUCAACCACUUGGAUCUGAAGAUGUUUACAGCAUUAAGAUAGAUGGAUUAUUCAAGGUCGGAUCCUAAUAUUUUCUCUUCUGAUGAGACAAUUUAAAAAGAUAAGUGCCGAUUUUUGCUUUCAGAGUCAUCAGCUCUGUAUUUUUCCCCUUGUCUCCUGACAUUCUCUUGGAUUUGUGGUGUUAAUUACAUUCCACUAACCUUGGCUUCUAGAAUGCCAAGACUCUUAGCUGCUAAGAUCCACAAAUAACAUCAAUUAGAUAAAUGGGGCGUUUCCACUCUCUCAUGCAACCCUGUUGGAUCUGCAAGUGCAGCGCUAAUAACUCCUAGGAUUCUGCUGCAUGGUCCUGACUUCAAAUAUUUUGAGAAUGAAUGUAAAUUAGAGUAUUUUAACUUUUAGUUUGGAUAAUAUAAUCACUAUACAUAUAUGAAAUAUUAAAACUUUGAAAUGAAAAUUGUUCUCAUUUUAAAACUCCAGG